rnacentral:lncRNA from 1 species
CCCGUCUCCCUGGGAUUUUCCCGGUGGGAUUGAUUUUCCAUGAGGAAUGAUUUCCGUGUGGGAUGAUUCCCAGUGGGAUUUAUUUCCCCGUGGGAUGAUUGAUUGGUUGGUUUCCUGUGGGAUGAUUGAUUGAUUGAUUGAUUGGUUGGUUUCCUGUGGGAUGAUUGAUUGAUGGAUGGAUUGAUUGAUUUCCUGUGGGAUGAUUGAUUGAUUGAUUGAUUGAUUUCCUGUGGGAUGAUUGAUUGAUUGAUUGAUUGAUUGAUUUCGAUUGAUUGAUUGAUUGAUUUCCUGUGGGAUGAUUGAUUGAUUGAUUGAUUGAUUGAUUUCCUGUGGGAUGAUUGAUUGAUUCCCUGUGGGAUGAUUGAUUGAUUUCCUGUGGAAUGAUUGAUUUCCUGUGGGAUGAUUGAUUGAUUUCCUGUGGGAUGAUUGAUUGAUUGAUUUCCUGUGGGAUGAUUGAUUGAUUGAUUUCCUGUGGGAUGAUUGAUUUUCUGUGGGAUGAUUGAUUGAUUUCGUGUGGGAUGAUUGAUUGAUUUCCUGUGGGAUGAUUGAUGGAUUGAUGGAUUGAUUGAUUGAUUUCCUGUGGGAUGAUUGAUUGAUUGAUGGAUUGAUUGAUUAAUUGAUUUCCUGUGGGUUCCCAGGGCAGGAAGGUGCCGGGGGGGCCGCAGAUGCUGCAGCUGAGCCUGGACGGGCGGCGGCUCUACGUGAGCACCUCCCUGUACAGCGCCUGGGACCGGCUCUUCUACCCCGAGCUGCUCAGGGAAGGCUCAGUGCUGCUGCAGCUGGACGUGGACACGGAGCGGGGCGGCCUGGCCGUCAAUCCCAAAUUCCUGGUGGAUUUCGGGAAGGAGCCGGGCGGGCCCUGCCUGGCGCACGAGAUGCGGUACCCGGGGGGGGACUGCACCUCCGACAUCUGGCUGUGAUCCCGGGAAUCCCGGGAAUCCUGCGGGAAUUCCGGGAAUGGGGAACGGCACCUCCGACAUCUGGCUGUGAUCCCGGGAAUCCCAGGAUUUAUUUGGGAAUUCUGGAUUUGGGAAUUCACGGACUCCAACGUCCGCCUCUGAUCCCAGGAAAUUGCCGAUUUCUCCCAUUUUUUCCACCUCCUUUUCCCUCCCCAUCACUUUUUCCCUGGAGCUUGAUGCCAAAAUUCCAAUUCUGGAGCUAAAAAAUCAUUUUCUGAUAUUUCUGAUCAAAAAUCCCAAUAAAAUUCUCCUUCCAGCAGCUGAAAUUCCA